AUGAACGCUGGCGGCGUGCCUAAUACAUGCAAGUCGAGCGAACGGACGAGAAGCUUGCUUCUCUGAUGUUAGCGGCGGACGGGUGAGUAACACGUGGAUAACCUACCUAUAAGACUGGGAUAACUUCAGGAAACCGGAUCUAAUACCGGAUGAUAUUUUGAACCGCAUGGUUCAAAAGUGAAAGACGGUCUUGCUGUCACUUAUAGAUGGAUCCGCGCUGCAUUAGCUAGUUGGUAAGGUAACGGCUUACCAAGGCAACGAUGCAUAGCCGACCUGAGAGGGUGAUCGGCCACACUGGAACUGAGACACGGUCCAGACUCCUACGGGAGGCAGCAGUAGGGAAUCUUCCGCAAUGGGCGAAAGCCUGACGGAGCAACGCCGCGUGAGUGAUGAAGGUCUUCGGAUCGUAAAACUCUGUUAUUAGGGAAGAACAUAUGUGUAAGUAACUGUGCACAUCUUGACGGUACCUAAUCAGAAAGCCACGGCUAACUACGUG
rnacentral:rRNA from 1 species